rnacentral:lncRNA from 1 species
ACCCAGUGGAGGGGCACCGUCCUGGACCAGGUGCCUGUGAACCCCGCCCUGUAUCUCAUAAAGUACGACGGGUUCGACUGUGUCUACGGACUGGAGCUCAAUAGGGACGAACGCGUGUCGGCGCUGGAAGUCCUGGCCGACAGGGUUGCGCCAUCUCCCGUGGGCGAGGCCCACCUGGCCGACAGGAUGGUGGGCAAGGCCGUGAAGCACACCUUCGAGGGCGAGGACGGCGCCCGGGACCAGUGGAGGGGAACGGUCCUGGCGCGCGCCCCCACCAUGAGCACGUGGUUUUACAUCACCUACGAGAAGGAUCCGGUCCUGUACAUGUACCAGCUCUUAGAUGACUACAGAGAAGGCGACCUUCGCAUCAUGCCGGAGCCCAAGGACUCGCCUCCAGCAGGACGGGAACCAGGAGCAGUUACGGACAGCCUGGUCGGCAAACAGGUGGAAUACGCCAAAGAAGAUGGCUCCAUGAGGACUGGCAUGGUCAUCCACCAGGUGGAGGCCAGACCGUCGGUGUGUUUCAUCAAGUUUGAUGAUGAUUUCCAUAUCUAUGUCUACAAUUUGGUGAAAACAUCCUAGAUGUCAUCACCAACUGUGCCAAGUUUGUGGAACUAUUAAAGGACAUGAAGCCAGAAGUCUCCACCGGCAGCAGAGACUCACGCCCGAGCUAAAGCAUCUUGUUCCCAGGAGGCCUGUGUUAAACCUCUGACACGUCCUCGAAGCUCUCGAGCUGUCGCCGCUGGACGCCCGCGCCACGCAGUCCAGACCCACCCUCGCUGCCCCAUACCAGCCGCUGGGUCGCCUUUCCACUUAUUGUCGGAGCCAAAAUAGGAUGAAAUACGAGCUAAUAAAAUAAGCCAGUCUGUCAGAAACUGUUCUAUACCUUAUUUCUAAGAGAGAUGGAAAGCAGUCGAAUCAUCUUGGGAUCUGCCAGAUGUCACUGGUGGUUAGAGUUGCUACAAGCUCACUGGGCUCCUUCCACCCCUCCCUCCCCUUCUCUCCCUCCCCUCCUCUUCCCUGCCUUCCUCCCACUCUUCCUCCCUCCCUCUCCUCCUCUUCCCUCUCCUCCUUCCACUCCUCCCUCUCCUCCUCCCUGUUUUCUUUUCCUUCUCUUUUUCCUUUCCUCCCAUCCUUCCCUUCUGUUCCUCCUUUUCUUCUUUACUUUCUUCAUUUCCAUCUUUCAUUCAUUCAACAAAUACAUGUUGAGGGCUUACCACAGGUCAGAUGCUACAAAGACAAAUGAGACUAGGAUAAUUACACAGAAAUCCCUGUUUUACACACACAUACACACACACUCCUGUUUGGGGACCCCCCCCCCCACCAGCUUCUCAGAUUGAGAUUUCUGUUGGCUUUUGUCACAUUACAGUUAGUGACAUGGCUUAUCUGACGCCAAGCGCCACAUCGAAGGCCAAGACAGGAGGAGGUGAAGGCCCCUGAUGGGACGUCUGAGUUUGACUCCUGGCUCUGCUCUGACCUGACAGAUGACCUCGACCAGGGAUCUGGGCUAUCAGACCCUCACCUGAAGAAAGGAAGGGCGGGCCUAGAUGCCAUCCCAGGUCUUCUCAGUCUCCACUGAUUAUAGGAUCUGAAAGGUCCUCUCAAUGUGUGAGGGGCUCAGGGAUGACAAGGAGGACCCUGGUCUUCCCAGGUCAGAGAUGUUAAAAUGAUAGCCAUUAAAAAAACAAACAAAAAACUGGCUCUUUCAAACCCUUGUCUAACAAGGAACGUAGAAUAAAUGUAAGCAAUUCCUAUUUCUACUAACGUAAAAUAUUCAAAUCGCUCUUUCUGGGUCCGGCCUGGGCAGGAGCAACGGGAACGAGAUAAGGAGGCUGCGAGGGGACCGCGAAGCAUUUCUGCGGAGAAGCAGCGCCACCUGCUGGGAUACGGUGGUGCUGCGUGCGGCGAAUAAUCGGGAAGGAUGGCCAGUCUGGGGCUCCACCGCUGACAGAUCAGAAGCAUCAGUCUUCAUAAGGAGCCCAGCCUUUCCACUUUGACAAAACCAUCAGACUGUGGAAAGAUUUCUCCACAGGUUAAUUUUAGACACGUUUUAGAUUUAAUUUUGCAUCAAACCGUUCAUCCAUGCUGUACGUCUUUCUUUGUAAAUCAGCCUCGAUGAUAUGUACUAAUAAAAGCCACUUAGUCAAAGUCUAUUAUUUUGAGUACAUAACUAGGCUCGAAAGUGUAAAGUGUCCUUUAGUUCAGACUCCAUUAAUCAAUCAACCGACCUUUAAUCAGAUCUCCAAGUCUCCCGCCAGCUCUCGAAUUCAGGCACAUGGAGAACCCAUGUAAGUUGAGUUCUGUUACACACGGGGACUUUUGUAUACUGAGGGAUACAUAUAGUGUAAGACGCAUUCCCGGUCUCUCAUUGUAGAGAAUCAGCGUGAAAAUACAC